UGCAUUAAGCACAUUCGGCAUUAGUAUUCAGCAUUUAGGUAAUAUGUCUGGUCGCGGCAAGGGCGGAAAAGGCCUUGGAAAGGGGGGCGCUAAGCGUCACCGUAAGGUUUUGCGCGACAACAUCCAGGGCAUCACAAAGCCGGCUAUCCGUCGCCUGGCCCGCCGUGGAGGAGUGAAGCGGAUCUCCGGUCUUAUCUACGAGGAGACCCGUGGGGUGCUGAAGGUGUUUCUGGAGAACGUGAUCCGGGACGCGGUCACCUACACCGAGCACGCCAAGCGCAAGACUGUCACCGCCAUGGAUGUGGUCUACGCGCUCAAGCGUCAGGGCCGCACUCUCUAUGGAUUUGGUGUGUCUUAUCAUUUAUGGCACAUUCUGGAAGAGAUGGCUCAAGGAGGGUUUACAAAUUGAUAAUGGAGAACAAGAGUUUGUUGUUUGGCACGAAUCACAAGCCAGGAAUAGGAGCCAAAGAAGCAAACUGAGAAACAUCACGGAGAACAUAGGAUCUUGGUGUUAAGAUGACUGAUGACCUCCUAGUCACGCUACAUUUCCAACGGGUCCUUCAAGACUGCACUGGGGGCAAAAAACACAGCCACUCGGCAGAGCCGAGGAGUCCUCCCUAGCCGCGCGGCGCACAGAGCAGGCAACCAAUCAUCACUCAGCGACUCUCUAUAUAAACCCCCAGCCGGCGACGCCCGGGACACGCCGUUCUGA